rnacentral:rRNA from 1 species
UACGUAGGGGGCAAGCGUUGUCUGGAUUUAUUGGGCGUAAAGCGCUCGCAGGUGGUUCGUGGCGUCGUGCGUGAAAGACCCCGGCUCAACUGGGGGAUGUCGUGCGAUACGGGCGGACUGGAGGCCAGUAGGGGGAUGCGGAAUUCCGGGUGUAGUGGUGGAAUGCGUAGAGAUCCGGAGGAACACCAGCGGCGAAGGCGGCAUCCUGGACUGGUCCUGACACUCAGGAGCGAAAGCGUGGGGAGCGAUCCGG